rnacentral:tRNA from 2 species
GCCCCCAUAGCUUAACGGAUAAAGUAUCUGUCUUCGGAACAGAUGAUGUGGGUUCGAUUCCUGCUGGGGGCACCA